UACGUUUCGCUUCGAGAGCCGCCAGCUC
rnacentral:sRNA from 1 species